rnacentral:rRNA from 1 species
UACGGAGGGGGCAAGCGUUAUCCGGAUUCACUGGGUUUAAAGGGUGCGUAGGAGGGCAGGUAAGUCAGUGGUGAAAUCUCCGAGCUUAGCUUGGAAACUGCCGUUGAUACUAUCUGUCUUGAAUAUUGUGGAGGUGAGCGGAAUAUGUCAUGUAGCGGUGAAAUGCUUAGAUAUGACAUAGAACACCAAUUGCGAAGGCAGCUCGCUACACAUAUAUUGACUCUGAGGCACGAAAGCGUGGGGAUCAAACAGG